rnacentral:rRNA from 1 species
GACGAACGCUGGCGGCGUGCUUAACACAUGCAAGUCGAACGGAAAGGCCCUGCUUUUGUGGGGUGCUCGAGUGGCGAACGGGUGAGUAACACGUGAGUAACCUGCCCUUGACUUUGGGAUAACUUCAGGAAACUGGGGCUAAUACCGGAUAGGAGCUCCUGCUGCAUGGUGGGGGUUGGAAAGUUUCGGCGGUUGGGGAUGGACUCGCGGCUUAUCAGCUUGUUGGUGGGGUAGUGGCUUACCAAGGCUUUGACGGGUAGCCGGCCUGAGAGGGUGACCGGCCAAAUGGGGACGGAGAUCCGGCCCAGCACCCUACGGGGGGCAGCGGGGGGGAAUAUUGCACAAGGGGCGGAAGCCUGUGGCAGCAACCCCGGGGGGGGGAGAAGGGCCUUCGGGUUGAAAACCGCUUUCGCCUGGGACGAAGCGGGAGUGGCGGUAAUGGGAAAAAAAGCACCGGCUAACUGCGU